UUAGUAAGAUUUCCACGCAAGUCUUCGUACAUGAGGCCCCAGGGCUUUCCUGUUGCAGUCGGGUGUGCACGUCUCCAACACCACUAUAAGACGAUACUAUAGACAUCAAAGCCCUGUAGGCCUUCCUAGAAAAACAACUGCAAGGCAAGGAAAAUGAACAGUGCUGCACUUAAAACGAUUGACGAAAAACUGCACAGGGACAAUGAGCGAUCUGCUAAAAAGAUUCAGAGUGAGCUUCUGUUUAGAAUACAGUAAAAGCAUCAGUCUGCACUAUUAGAAAACCAGUAAAAUAACUCAGGUGGACCUAUGGAAAAGCCAGGCUAUUUGCUUUAUACGAGCUUACAUGUCCUACAAAUUUAUUAAUAGGACAUACCCUAUUAAUAAACCGCCAUGUUGUGAAACCGAAAGCAAAGCAUCCAGUAAAAAUUCAUGUCUGGGGAGCCAUAUUCCGUCAGGGACCUGGACCGCUAGUUGUGUUAGAAGGAAUUAUGGACAGAUGUUUUUACGAAGACACUAAAAUAAAAUUCAAUCAGGCUCCAUACGUAAAACAACACUUUAAGAACCAUAUCACUUCUUCCAAGGUAGAUACAGUAUGU